AGUGAACGCUGGCGGUAGGCCUAACACAUGCAAGUCGAACGGCAGCACAGUAAGAGCUUGCUCUUACUGGUGGCGAGUGGCGGACGGGUGAGGAAUACAUCGGAAUCUACUUUUUCUUGGGUGAUAACGUAGGGAAACUUACGCUAAUACCGCAUACGACCUACGGGUGAAAGCAGGGGAUCUUCGGACCUUGCGCGAUUGAAUUAGCCGAUGUCGGAUUAGCUAGUUGGCGGGGUAAAGGCCCACCAAGGCGACGAUCCGUAGCUGGUCUGAGAGGAUGAUCAGCCACACUGGAACUGAGACACGGUCCAGACUCCUACGGGAGGCAGCAGUGGGGAAUAUUGGACAAUGGGCGCAAGCCUGAUCCAGCCAUACCGCGUGGGUGAAGAAGGCCUUCGGGUUGUAAAGCCCUUUUGUUGGGAAAGAAAAGAAGCAGGUGAAUACCCCGAUGUUCUGACGGUACCCAAAGAAUAAGCACCGGCUAACUUCGUG
rnacentral:rRNA from 1 species